UCUCGGCGUCGAAAUAUCGACGCACUACGACCUUCAUUGCUUUCAGUGGGAAACUUUUGGCGUCAGAAUUUCGACGCGAGGACAUGAGAUGUUUAUCGCUAUGAAAUCACGUUCAAGAAGUCUCAUUCAGCACACAUCGCGACAUUUGCCAUCAGUUCCACAGUUUGGCUGAAAAGACGUAAAGGAAGCAGUCAGCCCAGUGGUGUUUCUGGAGAGGUAUUCCUUCAGAAAUGGAGAAGACAGAAAGCUGCGGAGGCAGACAUUUGCAGCAUUUUCAAGUGAGCAUGAUGACCACAAGUGUGUGUCGAACUUUUCAUGACCUGAUGACUGUGUUUCCCAAUCCUGGUCCUGGAGAACCCCAGCACUGCACGGUUUUAGUGUCUCUCUUAUCUGACAAACACACUUUUGAGGUCUUGGAGUCUUCACUGAUGAGCUGAUGAGUUGAAUCAGGAUUGUUUGCAGACAACACUGUAGUUCUCCAUCAUGCACAAGGACUCACCUCGUUAACUCUUUAUCCCCCACACACACAGAAAUGGUCCCUGGAUCAGUGAUUUGACUUUGCAGUGGUUUGAUUUUUGCAGAAGAUGUAACUUUGGUUUAAUUAUAAGCUCAUAAUGAAUACGUUACAGAACCAGUGAUGAAAACAAUAGUUAAAAAUAG